rnacentral:piRNA from 1 species
AUUGAGCUCGUACAGGACACAAAUGC